UGUUGUUUGACCCAAAAAAGGGCCUUAAUGCCAUCAUCAUAUGCUGCCGGAAGAGGGUUUUCUGGGGCCAGACGAUAGUUGACUGACAUGAUCACACAAUUGGCUUUUGAUGCUAAUUUUGCAAGAAAUUCAUGGUAGCAACUCCAAGAAGCUGAACCGACGCAAAAUCCACCACCAUGAAAGUAUACUAGUAAAGGGAGUUUGGCAUGGCAUUUGGGCACGUAAAACCGCGCCCAAACGUUUGUACAUUUGUCAAUGACGAUAUCUGUGGAGGUCAGGGCUUGAUCUGGAGCCACGGCACACGUAACACUUGGCACAAUCUGGGGUCUUUCCACGUGCCCAUCUUUGUAAACCUUAAUAAGCCCUUCAAUUUCUUCAUGAACUCCAUGUUGCUGAUUUUGUUCUUUGUUGAACUCAAGGCUCAAGCUGGGAUCAAAUGUCAUGGCAGCCAUUCUCCUCUUUCUCAUAAAUAAAAGAUGUGCAAAUCUACUGA
rnacentral:lncRNA from 1 species